rnacentral:tRNA from 1 species
GAGGGUAUAGCUCAGUGGUAGAGCACAUGCUUAGCAUGCACGAGGUCCUGGGUUCAAUCCCCUGUACCUCCG